rnacentral:tRNA from 1 species
CUACUCGAAAGUUAAAAACAUUAAGUUGCAAGCUUAAAUUAGCUUAAAUGCUCGGGUAGG